rnacentral:lncRNA from 1 species
UAAUCUUUUUGCAGAGACGCUCUGCCUGGGCAUACCCCUCCUCCCCUGCACGCACGCACGCGCGCGCGCACACACACACACACACAGAGAAAGAGGGAGAAACACAUUGCGUGCUGAGAGGCUUGUGUCGCUAGGGGGAGGUGUGGGACAGAGAAAAGAGGGGGGGGAAAGCCUGGGGGUGGCCCCGCAGUAGCUCGAGGAGGGGCUGGGGGACAGCAGAGACGCUGAGGCUUUUCCUGAGCUGAACUGUGCUCGCCCUGCCACUGCCCACCCCGGGUGCCCAGCGCGCUCGGAGCCGUGCCUCGUCUCUUCAUUCCCAGAGAGCUGCAUAGGUGCCCCAGCUGCCCGGCGGCUGUCACUGGCGGGGCGGGGAAGGGGAGGGGAAGCCGGGCAGAAGAGCCGAGCUUCUCAUUGCUCGGGCGCUCCUUCGCGCACACCCACCCACCCACUGGAGUGGAGAGACUGAGGCUGCUGACAGCUGCAACUGGACUGGAGUUCUCUCCUUCGGGCUUCUCUUCCUUCCCCUGCCCCCUCCCCAUCCACUCCACCCCCUCUCCACCCUUGCACUCCCUCCACUCCGCCUUUAUUCCCUCUUGUCCCCAGUUCAUAUCGUUUCGCAACUGCUCGCCUCCUGCCCCGUGGCUGGCUGAGUUUUUUUCUCUCUCCACCCCCCGCCCCAAUUCCUGGCACCUCUUCUAUAAUACUUUCCCCCCCUCCUCCAAUUGGGGAGUGGGGGUGGGAGAGAGGGAGGGUGGAGCGUCCAGAGCCGGAGAAGAAAAAGAAGGAAGAGGGAGCAGAAGGAUUGUACGAUUGUGGAGAGGGCACCCCACGGCACCCUUUCUUUCCCAUUACACCCUUCCUACCUUCCCUCCCCCUCCCCCCAAAGUCCCGAUCCAGCCAGUUUCGGAGAAGAAAAGUGAAGGAAGACGGCUCGGGGGUGAUAGCGACACGGGGGCCAGUCCCAGACAAGCAGCAGCACCUCCCGUCCCGUCUCAUCCUCCUUCCUCCUCG